rnacentral:rRNA from 1 species
GUACACGCUGUGACUAGCAUAUCAAUAAGCGGAGGAAAAGAAACUAACAAGGAUUCCCCUAGUAACGGCGAGUGAAGCGGGAAGAGCUCAAAUUUGAAAUCUUAAAGGGUUUCCCUUUACGAAUUGUAGUUUAAAGAAGUGUUUUCUGUUGAGGUUUUGGUAAAAGUUCUUUGGAAUAGGACAUCAUAGAGGGUGAGAAUCCCGUAUUUGACCUUUACUUUCAACUUUGUGAUACACUUUCAAAGAGUCGGAUUGUUUGGGAAUGCAGUCCAAAAUGGGUGGUAAAUUUCAUCUAAAGCUAAAUAUUGGCGAGAGACCGAUAGCGAACAAGUACCGUGAGGGAAAGAUGGAAAAGAACUUUGAAAAGAGAGUUAAACAGUACGUGAAAUUGUCAAAAGGGAAGCGUUUGACACCAGUGUUGUUUUUCUGAAAAUCAAUUAAAGAACUGUUUAUGCUAAGUUGUUUAGACUUUAUCAGCUAACUGUUUAGUUUUGAGCUUUUCUUUAAUGCACUUUUCAGUUAACAAGUCAACAUCAAUUUCUUUUGCUGUAAAAAAGCUUGAGGAAGGUGGCUUGAGAUUCGUCUUAAGUGUUUAUAGCCUCUUGCCUAUGCAGUCGGAGAGAUUGAGGUCUGCAGCGUAGAUCCUUCGGGGCUAAAUGCAUUUGUGCUAAGUUAUAGCAUUUCAUAGACAACUUGUUGACUAUGAUUUGUCUUGUAGCUUACUCGCUUAUGUUAUUUUACCUACGCUUAGGAUGUUGACGCGCGUGUGUGCGUG